rnacentral:misc_RNA from 1 species
CCUUGGCGCGAAUGCAUCAAACGUAAACAAACUUUCGAGAAACUUUGAGCCUCAGAUUUAAGAUCUUUACGGGAUUAACCUUUACGAUGCCUCCAAUACGUGUUAAAUACGUCAUUUCAUUCACCUCACAGGCUCCCAAGAACACAGUAGAAGACUUGGUGAGGGGCCGAGGAUCUUGGCUUUGCGAUGCAAGUGACAGGACUGGACGCUUGCAGGCAGAUAUCCAGUUAGAACGAGCUACCACAAUAUCAUAUAUUGACCUUGGGAAUGCUGGGAGUGUAAUGGUAAGCAUUGAAGUAGGCCGUUCUUCAUGGCCUUCAGAUAAGCCCUUCAUGGCAUUACUGCCUACAGUAGCAUUGAUGACCCCAGCAGAAUGGCGUGCAGGCAAGAAUUCAAAGACAGUCCGCAUGUUCAAGAAAGAGGAUUUAGAUCAGAACGCAGUCAAAGAAAAGUGGGAUCGUGUUAGAAUUAUAUGCACUCAGCCAUUUCGAAAAGAUGCACAGUUUGGACUGGCUCUAUUUUGCCUCCACACCACUGAUGAGAGUCAUGUGCAGGAUGAAGUGUCAGCAUUUAACCCACAAUGUGUUCCACCUCAAGGGACACAUUCUGACAUGAAGAAAGAAGAACUUGUUUCAAGAAUGAACCUUCCAACUGUAAAGAAGAAAGUUAUGUCUCAGAGCAUAGGUUGGCUUGAGAAUAAAGUGCUGACAAAUGGUGAAGAAGCAAAUGCGAGUAAUCCCUUCACUUCCCCAGUCUCUCGAGCAGCUCGUCUUGUGGUCAUGGCAACAAAGCCAGCAAAUAAGGAGAGUGUGGCUUCCCAUAAGGCCAGUCUGGAAUGUGAAGCUCUGGACUUCCUUAUAUCUCUUAACUUGAAUAUUGAAGAAAUCAAUUCUUUAAAAGUAUCUGGUGUUCGUCAGCAGUUUGAACAGCAUAGGCAGAAAAUGUUAAACCAUGAUGAAAAAAUUAUAUUUAAAGAUAUUGCUUUAGAUUAUGCUAAGAAUAGAUUAGAAAGUCUAGAAAAGAAGGUUGAAAAGUCCAUAGAAAGUGAUACUUGGAAGAACAAAGGUACAGCAAUUAAGCAACAGAAGCAAUUAAAAAAAGAAAAAGAAAAUAAGUUCAAAGGGAACAUUUCAAAAAAGAACAUGAGCAAAAACAGUGAUGAAGAGAAGAGAAAAACAUUGGCUGCUAUGAGCAAGCAAGUAAACAAGCCAGCUAAUCUCCCUGUACAGCAGAAUUCUCAUGGAAAAUUUACAUUUAAAAAGAUAGAGGCUCCUGGAAGUUCUCUAACAUUGCUGAAGAAAUCACCAGUCAGCAGAAAAGAACACCAAAAGAGUGACCUCAAAACUCAGUCACCCUCAGGUUUGUCUCGUAAUGAGCUGGCUCUCUCUGAUGCCAAAGUUACGCCUCCCAAAAGACCAAGGGGCCAGCCUAAGAAGUCAGUCACCCCAAAGAUAAGAGACAGUAAACAGCCAACAGUAAAUACAUGGAUAACACCAGUGGCCAAAAGAAAGAGAGAAGAGCCACACUUCUCUGAUUCAGCUCAAGCUUCUCAGAAAUUUUCAAAGGAAUUAGAUGACAUAAGCAGUGGCCUUAUUUGGACUGACAGUGAUGAUGAGGACAUGAAUGAGAAGAAGCAAGGAGGAGGAUUUAUGGAUGACACAACUUCAGUAGUGGUUCCUAGACACACACAGUCUGGUAAUGUCUUGGGCACUGCCCCAUCUGACAAGUUUGGAGUAACACAGGCCAGGAAAAAGUCCAGAGGAGGUAGCGCAGACCACACCCAAUCUGCAGUUUCAAGCUAUAGCCACUCUUCAACAAUGAUGGAGUGCCCAUUGUGUUCAGGUAAUUUUAAAAGUUCUAUUAUCUCUCUUCAGGUUUCUUCCAUCCAUCAAAGAUCCAAUCACAUGCUGCUUCAUGCGGUAUUGUGAUAUCCUCAGAUUCCGACUCAGAUUCUGACUGUGGACAAAGAAGCAACAGGGGCAGUGAACAAAAUCAGAGAGGCAGCCUGGAAGAGUGCCCUGUGUGUGGUGACUUCAUCAACAGUUUGGACCUGCAAGAACAUGCAGCAGAAUGUGCUAAUUCGACAUUUGAUUGAAAAACAUUCAAGUCUCAAAGUUUUUAUAUUUUUUAUUUUAAAAUUUAUGUUCAAUAUUAAAAGAGAAGAAUAUGUAACUUGAAAUGAAAAUCAGCAUUUUGUAUGAUGAUUUAAAAUUUACACUAUGUACGUAUGAGUUACAAUUCUAAAGAAAAUAUUGAAAAAGAUUUAAAACAAGAAACAAAUUUUAUUAUUACAUAUUUAUAUUAGUGUAUACUACAGAAUGAAUUGACUCGCAUGCAACCUGUAAAGUUUUAAGUAAACAUUUUAUGAGUGUU